rnacentral:tRNA from 1 species
GUAGUAUAAAUAUUACAAUUACCUUCCAAGUAAAAAAUCUCUUUAAGAGC